rnacentral:rRNA from 1 species
UGAAUACGAGAUGCUACGGCGUCGAAGCAGUCUAUGUCAUACUUCCAAGAAAAGCUCGCACUGUCAUAAACAAAUAAUGCCUGUACCAUAACCGACACAGGUGGGUAGGUAGAGUAUACUAAGGGGCGCGAGAUAACUCUCUCUAAGGAACUCGGCAAAAUGACUCCGUAACUUCGGGAGAAGGAGUGCCUUAUUUAUAAGGUUGCAAUAACAAGAUCCAAGCAACUGUUUAUCAAAAACACAGGUCUCCGCUAAGUCGUAAGACGAUGUAUGGGGGCUGACGCCUGCCCAGUGCCAGAAGGUUAAAGAAGUUGGUUAGCAUUCGCGAAGCUGAUAACUGAAGCCCUGGUGAACGGCGGCCGUAACUAUAACGGUCCUAAGGUAGCGAAAUUCCUUGUCGGGUAAGUUCCGACCCGCACGAAAGGCGUAAUGAUUUGGAUACUGUCUCGGAGAGGGGCUCGGUGAAAUAGACUUGUCUGUGAAGAUGCGGACUACCUGCACCAGGACAGAAAGACCCUAUGAAGCUUUACUGUAACUUGAGAUUGAAAUUGGACUUUACUUGCGCAGUAUAGGUGGGAGGCGUUGAUAAUAUUCUUGCGGGAUUAUUUGAGCCAUCAGUGAGAUACCACUCUUGUAAUGUUAGAUUUCUAACUUUGUAUCAUUAUCUGGUCAAAGGACAGUUUCAGGCGGGCAGUUUGACUGGGGCGGUCGCCUCCUAAACGGUAACGGAGGCGCACAAAGGUUUCCUCUGAACGGGUAGAAAUCGUAUCUAGAGUGUAAAGGCAUAAGGAAGCUUGACUGUGAGACCUACAAGUCGAGCAGGGACGAAAGUCGGUCUUAGUGAUCUGACGGUGCUGAGUGGAAAGGCCGUCACUCAACGGAUAAAAGUUACUCUAAGGAUAACAGGCUGAUCUCCCCCAAGAGUUCACAUCGACGGGGAGGUUUGGCACCUCGAUGUCGGCUCAUCGCAUCCUGGGGCGGUAGUACGUCCCAAGGGUUGGGCUGUUCGCCCAUGAAAGCGGUACGCGAGCUGGGUUCAGAACGUCGUGAGACAGUUCGGUCCAUAUCCGGUGUAGGCGUUAGAAUAUUGAGAGGAGCCUUCUUUAGUACGAGAGGACCGAGAAGGACAUACCUCUGGUGUACCAGUUAUCGUGCCAACGGUAAACGCUGGGUAGCUAUGUAUGGAGUGGAUAACCGCUGAAAGCAUCUAAGUGGGAAGCCCACCUCAAGAUAAGUAUUCUCC